GAGGAGUUUAGAAAGCCAUGAGAGAGUAAGAAGUUGCUUAAUGGAAACUUUCUUGAUUUUAUUCAAAAAUGACUUCUCCUUAUAUAGGGAGGAGAAUCACAACAAGAAUACAAAAGGAGGCUAAGUGGGGAUCCCACUCAUCCUCCACUUACAAGACAAUAAGGAUGACUCAUCAUUCACUCACAUGCCUAAUAUACAAUAAUUCACUCCACUCACAUACCUAAUAAUUCACUCCACUCACAUACCUAAUAAGACAACAUACAAUAAUACACUCAACUUUCAAGAUAAUAAGGACGACUUAUCAUUCACUCACAUGCUUAAUAGGACAAUAUACAAUAAUUCACUUAAAGUAAUAGCAGUGGCCGACAGCUUCACAUGCUUAGAAAAUAUCGUCAUAUUGAUCAUCAUCCAUUGGCUGGGAAUCUUGCAUGAGAGCUUCUUGCUGUGCUCUGGUUAAGGUAGGAUCAUCCAGUGGGGUCGAAAGAUCAGAGAAUGAGAAAUGUUCAAUGGAUUGUCCAGUUGACAGGUGUCCAUUGAAUGUGCAUACUAA
rnacentral:lncRNA from 1 species